rnacentral:rRNA from 1 species
GACGAACCGUGCGAACGUUAUUCGGAAUCACUGGGCUUAAAGCGCGUGUAGGCGGGACGGCACGUCGGUCGCUGAAAUCCCUCGGCUUAACCGGGGAACUGCGUCCGAUACUGGAUGACUUGAGUUCGGGAGAGGGAUGCGGAAUUCCAGGUGUAGCGGUGAAAUGCGUAGAUAUCUGGAGGAACACCGGUGGCGAAGGCGGCAUCCUGGACCGACACUGACGCUGAGGAGCGAAAGCCAGGGGAGCAAACGGG